AAAGCCUUUGACAAAUGCAACCACGGCGCACAAGCACACAAAACGCGCACAAAAGUAAUAACGGUAAAGGUACUCCCUUAUGUUUCACGCACAGCAGUAUCUCUAUGGAUGACCAAGGCACACCAGUUUUCUACCUGGAGAGAGAAUGUGCAUGAAAUAAUAAUGAGGGGGGGGGGGGGGAUAUUUAAGGUAAAGG